rnacentral:rRNA from 1 species
UACGGAGGGAGCUAGCGUUGUUCGGAAUUACUGGCGUAAAGCGCACGUAGGCGGUUAUUCAAGUCAGAGGUGAAAGCCCGGGGCUCAACUCCGGAACUGCCUUUGAAACUAGAUAGCUUGAAUCCAGGAGAGGUGAGUGGAAUUCCGAGUGUAGAGGUGAAAUUCGUAGAUAUUCGGAAGAACACCAGUGGCGAAGGCGGCUCACUGGACUGGUAUUGACGCUGAGGUGCGAAAGCGUGGGGAGCAAACAGGG